GAUGAACGCUAGCGGCAGGCCUAACACAUGCAAGUCGAGGGGUAGAAGGAGCUUGCUCCUUUGAGACCGGCGCACGGGUGCGUAACGCGUAUGCAAUCUACCUUGUACAGGGGAAUAGCCCAGAGAAAUUUGGAUUAAUGCCCCAUAGUAUAUAACCUUCGCAUGUUGGUUAUAUUAAAGUUCCAACGGUACAAGAUGAGCAUGCGUCCCAUUAGUUAGUUGGUAAGGUAACGGCUUACCAAGACGAUGAUGGGUAGGGGUCCUGAGAGGGAGAUCCCCCACACUGGUACUGAGACACGGACCAGACUCCUACGGGAGGCAGCAGUGAGGAAUAUUGGUCAAUGGUCGCAAGACUGAACCAGCCAUGCCGCGUGCAGGAAGACGGUCCUAUGGAUUGUAAACUGCUUUUAUACAGGAAGAAACCCUCCCACGUGUGGGAGCUUGACGGUACUGUAGGAAUAAGGAUCGGCUAACUCCGU
rnacentral:rRNA from 1 species